GUCUAGCUGUAAAACAGACCCUGGGCUCUCACUGUAUUCAGCCCAAUUAUUGUCUGCUGUGCUCCAGGCAUGGUUGUACAGAAGUGAAGAAGAUACUCCCUUAUCAAGCUAUAACAGCUGUGAGUUGUCAGCCAGCACUCAAGGCACGUAUAAGGCCUCCCCGUGAAAUCAGCCUCCUGCAUGGCUCUCUAAGAAGGAGUCAGACCCAACUCCAGGAAAGCUCACAGCCUAAAGGGGAGCAAGCAGGUAGCAUCACCUCCUGGGAAAGUUUUUCUUGAACAGUCUUAUUAAGUGGCAGGAGGAAAUAAUGCUGCUUCUUGGGAUAGGUGAUACGUCUACUGAUUCCAGUUUUUUCGAGCCUAAGAUUCAGCCUUUGGGCAUCCAAAUGGAAGACAGAG